GACGAACGCUGGCGGCGUGCUUAACACAUGCAAGUCGAACGGAAAGGCCCUGCUUUUGUGGGGUGCUCGAGUGGCGAACGGGUGAGUAACACGUGAGUCACCUGCCCUUGACUUUGGGAUAACUUCAGGAAACUGGGGCUAAUACCGGAUAGGAGCUCCUGCUGCAUGGUGGGGGUUGGAAAGUUUCGGCGGUUGGGGAUGGACUCGCGGCUUAUCAGCUUGUUGGUGGGGUAGUGGCUUACCAAGGCUUUGACGGGUAGCCGGCCUGAGAGGGUGACCGGCCACAUUGGGACUGAGAUACGGCCCAGACUCCUACGGGAGGCAGCAGUGGGGAAUAUUGCACAAUGGGCGGAAGCCUGAUGCAGCAACGCCGCGUGCGGGAUGACGGCCUUCGGGUUGUAAACCGCUUUCGCCUGUGACGAAGCGUGAGUGACGGUAAUGGGUAAAGAAGCACCGGCUAACUACGUG
rnacentral:rRNA from 1 species